UACAGAGGGUGCGAGCGUUAAUCGGAAUUACUGGGCGUAAAGCGCGCGUAGGCGGCUUUGCAAGUCGGGUGUGAAAUCCCCAGGCUUAACCUGGGAACUGCAUUCGAGACUGCAUUGCUAGAGUAUGGGAGAGGGAAGUGGAAUUUCCGGUGUAGCGGUGAAAUGCGUAGAUAUCGGAAGAAACAUCAGUGGCGAAAGCGACUUCCUGGACCAAUACCGACGCUCAUGUGCGAAAGCGUGGGGAGCAAACAGG
rnacentral:rRNA from 1 species